rnacentral:lncRNA from 10 species
GUCUCAUGUGUCAUAUGUAUUUCAGCACUGCUUUUUAACCAAUAAAAAUUAAAGAUUCACUUCAGAGGAAGUUAAUUUUAUGAUAUUCUGUGGUUGACUGUCUUUAAUGUUAGUUUCAUAGAAUACUACAUUUUAUUACUUUUUAAAAAUAAAUAAAGUAGAAAUAACCAAGGAAUACAAAAAUCUAAGGGGAUGCAAAGCAGUGAAUAUUUCAUAUGAAUCUCCCUAAUUCUUAAUCUUUCUACCAGGACUUCAAAAAUCAGAAUACAAAAUACAUUGCUCUGCACUUGAGGAAACCUAGAUCCCAAAGCAAGAAGCAACUUGGCCUGCUAAACGCAUACAGCAGGAGAAACGAGGACUUCUCUGCUGGGCUUGAAAACAUUACAAUGGAUGUGUCAGGACUGUAGGCCUGGUGAUUCAGUCCUUACUGCAGCAAAUUUUAUUGACAGUGUGAUCCUCAUGCCUUGGCCUCCCAAAGUGCUGGGAUUACAGGUGUGAGCCAUUGGGCCCUGCCAGGAUUUGUUAAUUUUUUGAUUUCUCAACUAGUGUUGGCAAGCUUGGAGUGGAAAGUAUAAACUUUCAAUUUUGUAUUAUAAAAUCUUGUUUUUAUCAGUAGCACUCUCAUGUCUUGGUUUCACUAUUUACUUUGUCUCAGAAGCCCUAGAUUGGGGCAGCUUGCUUCUUGACUGACAUGCACAAUGUCAAAGGAUAUGACACCAGUCUGUCAGCAGAGCUCUAGCAGCUACCUCAACACCGUGACCAUGUCUGCAGAGAAUGCUCCAGCCUUGCCUGCUCAUACACGUUAGUAACAUGAUACAGUCUUUUCCAUCUGUACAGAAGAGCUAGAAUAUUCCACCAAAGUUGUGAAACAUGAAUCUAGCAAAAACAAACAAAAAAGAAGACAAAACACAAACCAUAAACCUUGUGUGGUCUGGAAAAGGGAGAGGGGUUGGUGAGGUAGAGAUAGAGCUGAACAUGUGUGAAAGUCUCUGAGGAGGAGCCCUGUGUGCUCUCUGAAUGAGGGGGAUAGAAUCCCAGGAAGUAUGAGCAUCUGUCCUGUAAUCAAUUUCUGCCUGAAACCACACAAGGAGGUGUUUCAUGAUAUCAUGAGGAUCCUAUGCCGCUAAGAAAGAAGGACCAUAAAAUACAGCGUCAAAGGGAAAAUGGUCUGUUGGAAUUUUGAUUGCCCUGAGGGGUGGCAUGGAAGAGCUGCCAGUUUUUCCCAUGUCCUUGAGAAGGGCACAGCUUUUAGGAGAGAGAGAGACAGAGAGUCCUGGUGGACCUGCGAAAGUCUCAUAUUCUUGAUGAGAGACACAUAGAGGAAAAAGGUGUGGACCGUAAGACCAGAGAUGUGUGGGAAGGGAAGGAACUCAGUGAAUGCUUGUGUGGACCGUCUUCUGAGCACUGAGUGCGAUCAUAGUCUCACUAGAUGGCAGCAGAGUGUAGGUCCCAGGAUAUGAAGGGACGAUCGGCUAUCUCCCCUUUACCCCCAACCCCACAUUUCCCACCACUGCUCCUUGCCAUGACCCUUCUUCAGGAACUUCUAUGCCAUCUCUGGGAGAAAGGCAGAACGUGACCAACUAAAUUGUUGUGUUUAAGCUGGAAUGAAUGAGUUUACUCUUAAAGCGGUACAAUUUUGUUUUCUGCUUUUGAAUGUAUCCUGCGGCACCACCAACUCUUAGAAUUGUGUAACGUCUAAUUCCUUAAUAAAUUCCCCAC